rnacentral:misc_RNA from 1 species
GUGAGUCAUCGAAUCUUUGAACGCACAUUGCGCCCGUUGGUAUUCCGACGGGCACGUCUGUUUGAGCGUCAUCUCAACCCUUCGGCUGACGGCUUGCCGUCUCCGGUCCUGAGCCUGGCCGGGUGUCCAUCACCCGCCGGCUUUAAAGUUGCGCGCUCCGCGGGCCUGUGACCCAACGAAACAUAGUAGAAUCUUUUGCUGUUUCCGUUGCCAGCCGGUUCCGCCUGAACAUAACCAUUCAUAAGGUUUGACCUCAGAUCAGACGAGGAUACCCGCUGAACUUAAGCAUAUCAAUAAGCG